ACAUCCAGAGAUUUAGCAGAGAUGCUUUAGUGCCUUCGGGAACUCUGAGACAGGUGCUGCAUGGCUGUCGUCAGCUCGUGUUGUGAAAUGUUGGGUUAAGUCCCGNAACGAGCGCAACCCUUAUCCUUUGUUGCCAGCACGUAAUGGUGGGAACUCAAAGGAGACUGCCGGUGAUAAACCGGAGGAAGGUGGGGAUGACGUCAAGUCAUCAUGGCCCUUACGAGUAGGGCUACACACGUGCUACAAUGGCGCAUACAAAGAGAAGCGACCUCGCGAGAGCAAGCGGACCUCAUAAAGUGCGUCGUAGUCCGGAUUGGAGUCUGCAACUCGACUCCAUGAAGUCGGAAUCGCUAGUAAUCGUAAAUCAGAAUGUUACGGUGAAUACGUUCCCGGGCCUUGUACACACCGCCCGUCACACCAUGGGAGUGGGUUGCAAAAGAAGUAGAUAGCUUAACCUUCGGGAGGGCGUUUACCACUUUGUGAUUCAUGACUGGGGUGAAGUCGUAACAAGGUAGGCGUAGUGCU
rnacentral:rRNA from 1 species